rnacentral:rRNA from 1 species
GAUGAACGCCAGCUACAGGCUUAACACAUGCAAGUCGCGGGGCAGCAUGGGGGUUGCUUGCAAUCCCCGAUGGCGACCGGCGCACGGGUGAGUAACGCGUAUCCAACCUGCCCUUCACCACGGGAUAACCCGGCGAAAGUCGGACUAAUACCGUAUGUUGUCCAUUGACGGCAUCCGAUUUGGACGAAAGGCUUGGCGGUGAGGGAUGGGGAUGCGUCCGAUUAGCCAGACGGCGGGGUAACGGCCCACCGUGGCUACGAUCGGUAGGGGUUCUGAGAGGAAGGUCCCCCACACUGGAACUGAGACACGGUCCAGACUCCUACGGGAGGCAGCAGUGAGGAAUAUUGGUCAAUGGGCGUAAGCCUGAACCAGCCAAGUAGCGUGCAGGAUGACGGCCCUAUGGGUUGUAAACUGCUUUUAUGCGGGGAUAAAGUGGCCCACGUGUGGGCUUUUGCAGGUACCGCAUGAAUAAGGACCGGCUAAUUCCGUG